rnacentral:lncRNA from 1 species
CUCACGAAUACAAAGAUGGGAACAACGCAUAUGGGGCCUAUCAGAGGCUGGAACGUGGGAGAAGGGAGAGAAUCAGGCAACAAGUUGACAAAUGGACAUGAAUUUCACCUCUGAGAGUUUCAUAAGCUGGUAUUGUCCUGACAUUGCAAAGUGUUUACCACAAAGAUCCUGUACAUCCAUCAUCCAGGGCCAGCGUUUGCCUGAUUCUAAUUCCACUGACAUUGAAAUCUACAGCUCUCUUUUUAUAGCUCACAGAUGUCUUCCUUAAGGACCCGAGAGCCAUCUUUGAAACAUAAGUAUCAAGUCAGAUAGCACACCUAUCUUUCAGUUUACGUGACAAGUGCCUUGGAAAUACGACCUAUUGAAUGUCUACUUUCAUGAGCUGAAAUAUUCAUAGGUCAUGAAGCCACAGAAUGGAAGAGGCCUUGAUCAUCUAAUCACAGCUUGGAGGGUAGCUUAGACAAGAGGGCCAUCCAACCAACGUUGCGAUUUAUAAGAAUAAGAAGUUAACUGAUAAAGAC